GGGGGAAUCUUGCGCAAUGCGCGAAAGCGUGACGCAGCAACGCCGCGUGGGGGAAGAAGGCCUUCGGGUUGUAAACCCCUUUCAGGAGGGACGAAGGUUCGGCGGUGAAUAGCCGUCCGGACUGACGGUACCUCCACAAGAAGCCCCGGCUAACUACGUGCCAGCAGCCGCGGUAACACGUAGGGGGCGAACGUUGUCCGGAUUCAUUGGGCGUAAAGGGCUCGUAGGCGGUUCAACAAGCCGACCGUGAAAGUCUGGGGCUCAACUCCAGGAAGCCGGUUGGAACUGUUGUGACUAGGGUCCGGUAGAGGUGACUGGAAUUCUCGGUGUAGCGGUGAAAUGCGCAGAUAUCGAGAGGAACACCCGUAGCGAAGGCGGGUCACUGGGCCGGUACCGACGCUGAGGAGCGAAAGCGUGGGGAGCAA
rnacentral:rRNA from 1 species